GGAAUAUGGAAGUGGCUCAGUGGGAUGGCGUGUUGGAAGCUAUCAUGGAUGUGGUGUUGGUGUUGUGAAGGGUGCUGCUGUGGUGAACUAAAAUGGAGACGAGGCUGCUGUGAGAGCAAAGGGGGCAGAAGCGGUUGGACUGCAUGCAUGAGCCGCUGUUGCUGCUGGCCAAAACAAUGUAGAUGUAGCAGUACAGGUUGUUGUAAUACAUGUUGGUCUUGUCCAAAAUCAAGUUGCUGCGAACGCAGGCAUUGCUGUAUCCCUCAAAGUUGUUGCAGUUUUCAAUGCGAUUCCUGCCCUUCUUGCUGCACUUGCAAGUGUUCUUGCUCUUGCUCCUGUCCCACCUGCCCAAAGCUUCGCCCCCGUUGCUCUUGUACAAACUCCUGCUGGAAUCCUUGCUGUUUCUGUUGCUAGUUUCCAAUUCUUUCGCACAUCAUGAUGAUGCCUCACCUUCAACCUUCAUCCCAAAUGAAAUUCCAACUUCCAACGGCCCAAGGAAUCCGGAUCUUUCAUGUUUCUGCGUUUCUGAGCUCCUUCAUAUGCUCUUCUUCUAAAUGUAAACCUUGCUGCUGAAGCCUGUUGUGCUGGGCUCUGCUUAACAUGUACAUAUUAUUUUGUCAGCCCUGCCCAGCUUCCCUGCCAAUAGACCUUUACUUGGGUGGGGUUGGGGAGGUACCGUUUUCGUUUUCAAAUUUGAAUUGAUGAUGAGGGCUUCGUGAAAGGUGAUGCUUGAUUAAAAUAGAAGUGGCAGGAACAUGUGCGACUGCUAUCCACUCCUUUUCUUCCUGCAAAACUGCGCUCACCACGCAGAAGUCAGAACAAUGUCCUUCCAUUCAGUACACUACAUGCAGUAUAAGCCAUUCAGGCCCUGUGUUGCUGGUAUUCGCAAAUUCAAAGGAAUGUGUUCCCUCGGAAUUGACCACCUGUGCUUUCUGAAGACCCAGGACCAAUGAGGCUAGCUAAUUAAUGCUAAAAACAUUGAGUAGCGAGCGGGAGCUCGACCAAGCGUAGAUU